UACGGAGCCCCUAAAGGGACAUGGGUGGACUUUUUUUUUUUGCGAGAUCUCGCAAAAGUAUUGCGAGAUCUCGCAAUACUUUUUGCGAGAUCUCGCAAAACGUAUUGCGGGAUCUCGCAAUACUUUUUGCGAGAUCUCGCAAAAGUUUUUUCUCCAUUCAGUGAACCGGAAGUAAAACACGCCUAAAAUAGCCUAAAAUAAGCCUAAAAUAAUAAUAAUAAUAAUAAUAAGAAGGAGCAACAGAGCACGGAUGAUGUGUACCAUAGACAUAAUAAAAGAUAGACCCCGCAUCGGCCGCUACCACGAAUGGGCGCUGUCGAGAAAUGCGGCCGCCAUCUUGGUCCGGUCAUCCGCCUCACUCUGCACCACUGUCUUCCUCUUUGGCCUACAAAUGACUCUACAGUCAAGUGUAAUGUUGAAAAAACGUGUAAUCAUAACUGUGAAAAGUUAUUCCUUGAGCCCUGUUCUCUGCUGUCCGCCUGUUGGCACAGGAAUACGCCGCACAGUGCUCCGGCAUCGCUGAAUGAAUGAAUGAAUGAAUAUGAUUGACCGGAGCGUAUGGGAAGCUUGACCUGACCAAGAUGGCGGCCGCAUUUCUCGCUGCGCAGCACCCCCAGCGGGGUCUACCCUUUUAUUAUGUCUAUGAUGUGUACGCUCCUCCAUCAUGUGUGUCUGUUUUACUUCCGGUUCACCGAAGUAGGACAGAACUUUGCGAGAUCUCGCAAAAAAGUAUUGCGAGAUCUGGCAAUACUUAUUGCGAGCGCUCGCAAUACUUUUGCGAGAUCUCGCAAUACUUAUUGCGAGCUCUCGCAAUACUUUUGCGAGAUCUCGCAAAAAAAAAAAGUCCAUCCAUGUCCCUUUAGGGGCUCCGUAG